UGCGCAGGCGGGCUUGUAAGUCAGUGGUGAAGUACUGCCGCUUAACGGUAGAACUGCCAUUGAUACUGCAAGUCUUGAAUAUGGUUGAGGUAGGCGGAAUGUGUCGUGUAGCGGUGAAAUGCAUAGAUAUGACACAGAACGCCAAUUGCGAAGGCAGCUUACUAAGCCAUUAUUGACGCUGAGGCACGAAAGCGUGGGGAGCGAACAGGAUUAGAUACCCUGGUAGUCC
rnacentral:rRNA from 1 species